AACAAAACUAUCCGCCAGAGAACUACUAGCAACAGCUUAAAACUCAAAGGACUUGGCGGUGCUUUAUAUCCCUCUAGAGGAGCCUGUUCCAUAAUCGAUAAACCCCGAUAAACCUCACCAUCUCUUGCUAAUUCAGCCUAUAUACCGCCAUCUUCAGCAAACCCUAAAAAGGAAGAAAAGUAAGCACAAGUAUCUUAACAUAAAAAAGUUAGGUCAAGGUGUAGCCCAUGAGAUGGGGAAGUAAUGGGCUACAUUUUCUACAACUAGAACAUCCACGAAAAUCCUUAUGAAAUUAAGUAUUAAAGGAGGAUUUAGUAGUAAAUUCGAGA
rnacentral:rRNA from 1 species